UACGGAGGGUGCAAACGUUGCUCGGAAUCAUUGGGCGUAAAGCGCACGUAGGCGGUCUUUUAAGUCGGAUGUGAAAGCCCCAGGCUCAACCUGGGAAGUGCAUUCGAAACUGAAAGGCUGGAGUACGGAAGAGGGUCUCGGAAUUCCCGGUGUAGAGGUGAAAUUCGUAGAUAUCGGGAGGAACACCAGUGGCGAAGGCGGAGACCUGGGCCGAUAUUGACGCUGAGGUGCGAAAGCGUGGGGAGCAAACAGG
rnacentral:rRNA from 1 species